rnacentral:rRNA from 1 species
GACGAACGCUGGCGGCGUGCUUAACACAUGCAAGUCGAACGAGAAUCUGUGGAAAGAGGAUUCGUCCAAUUGAAGCAGAGGACAGUGGCGGACGGGUGAGUAACGCGUGAGGAACCUGCCUUUCAGAGGGGGACAACAGUUGGAAACGACUGCUAAUACCGCAUGAUACAUAGGUGUCGCAUGGCACUUAUGUCAAAGAUUUAUCGCUGAAAGAUGGCCUCGCGUCUGAUUAGCUAGUUGGUGAGGUAACGGCCCACCAAGGCGACGAUCAGUAGCCGGACUGAGAGGUUGAACGGCCACAUUGGGACUGAGAUACGGCCCAGACUCCUACGGGAGGCAGCAGUGGGGAAUAUUGGGCAAUGGGCGCAAGCCUGACCCAGCAACGCCGCGUGAAGGAAGAAGGCUUUCGGGUUGUAAACUUCUUUUGUCAGGGACGAGUAGAAGACGGUACCUGACGAAUAAGCCACGGCUAACUACGUGCCAGCCGCCGCGGUAA